rnacentral:lncRNA from 1 species
CAGUUACAUUGCUUCCAGUGGCGUACCUGGGCAUAUUAUGUACAGGAUGUAACUCGCGAAUCACAUAUUACUUUUGUUGUUUUGUUUUCCCUAACCAAACCACCUUAUAAUAUUGUUCUAUGUCCCUAACCUAGAUUGCAGAUUUUAUUUGUUUUGCUUCCUGAAUGAUUUAAUUAUCAUGGAUAAUUAUUAUUAUAUCGAUUUUGCGACUAUUUUGAACAAUCAUAGUGUUUGGUGUUGACUCCCUUAUCUAUAAUAUUCGGUUCUACGCUAAUUUUGAGUUAAAAACAAACAUUUUAGUGUUUGACUUUCUAAUAAAUUUUCCAGUGAUUUUUUUACUGUAUAAUUUCUUUUUUAGCUGCUGCAGUGCCUGUUUACGAUAAUUAUGGCACUAAAUCAACAUGUAUGCAAUCUGCAAAGUCUGUGAGAAGGAAUUUUCAAGCAUAUCAAUGAGAAACAGACAUCUUAAGAAGUUUCACCAAGAAUUUGUUGGCCAGGAAUACAAGAAACACAUUACAUGUCUAAUGUAUACCAACAGUACCUAGAUUUUAGGAAUUUUGAAUAAUAUACCUCUUGGAGGGCACAAAGUAAUAGGGAGAUUGAUUCUGAUUGUCAGAUCCAAAAUAAAUUUAAGAAUGGAGAAGAACAUAUAUUAUACAAUUAUAACAGGAGCGACAUUAAAAGUAGUAUAAACUCUUAGUCAUCAGACAUAAUUGUAUAUUUUGUUGUUUACUUUUAACAUUCAAUAUCUCAUGUAAAAGGAGAUGACACAAUAGAAAGGCCAAACUUGGUAACAAGAGGUAACAUGGCAUAUUUGAUAAGGAAAUAUAAUGUUGACAAGAAAAGAGACCAUUAUGAUAUGGUAGCCACUGCUUUAAGAAUUAAUGGGAAAGGAAAAAAUGGGGAAUUCUUAUCUGGGACUGAAUGAUAACAAUUUUGCUACAUACAUUGAAUUAUGGAGAAGAAAUCAAAAGAUUGUAAAUAUCAAUUUAAAGAGCCUAGGUGUUUGGUUUCUAUCUAUAUAGGUGUACCUAUAUUUUAUCUUGAGAGUAUUUUAGCUUAUUGAGCGCCGAAAACCUAACUGAAUUGCUUCAAAACGGUGAUGGAAUGAUGAGGGACAGACCCUCUGCGAAUAUCUUUAUUUAUGAAAUUGUGUAAAGAAAAGUAUUUUUUUUUCUUUCAUGGUACUACAAAAAAAAUCUGUUGAAUGGAAGGUUGGGCUGUUCGUGACCAGCAGAGAUGACAAUGCUAGCUAAAGAAGUGCUACAGACCAAGCAUGAUAGAUUUAGUUUCUUCUCUACCAUUUUAAUUUUAAGUUGUUAUUAUUUAAUAUAAUACAUUUUGACCAAUCUUAAUAUAAUAUAGAGUCCAUAGUAUAGUUUAUUUUAAAAACUAUUAAUAUAAAACAUGUUAUUAUAAAAUUUAAAACAUUUCAGUAAGCUAGUCGGCAUUAAGAUAUUUGAUGAAUAUGAUGGGAAUUUUUUCAUUUCAAAGUAAUAUCACUGUCAUCACAAUGAUUUAAAUAAUUUUCAAAUUGUCUUUGAAAACUACUCAGCAAGUAAGCUGCCUCAAAAUAUUUAUGUAAUAUUUACUUCUUAUGGCGACUAUGAUGAUGCUAUGGGGUUUUAUCAAAACAAUGCAUAAACAGUUAUACAAAAAUUAAAAUAAACACACAUAUUUUUUAGGAUUAUUUGUAAUAUAUAUUUUGAUUUUAAUUGUUGUUAAAUAAAAGUUUAUAUGUUAUUCA